rnacentral:tRNA from 2 species
GGCCCGUUCGUCUAGGGGUUUAGGACGCCGGCCUCUCACGCCGGUAACACGGGUUCGAAUCCCGUACGGGCUA